GGAUUGAACGCUGGCGGCAUGCCUAACACAUGCAAGUCGAACGGGAGUAGCAAUACUCUAGUGGCGGACGGGUGAGGAAUACGUAGGAAUUUGCCCUUAAGUGGGGGAUAACCCGGGGAAACCCGGAUUAAUACCGCAUGACCUCGAAAGAGCAAAGUGGGGGAUCGCAAGACCUCACGCUUUUGGAGAAGCCUACGUCGGAUUAGCUAGUUGGUGAGGUAAUGGCUCACCAAGGCGACGAUCCGUAACUGGUCUGAGAGGAUGAUCAGUCACACCGGAACUGAGACACGGUCCGGACUCCUACGGGAGGCAGCAGUGGGGAAUAUUGGACAAUGGGCGCAAGCCUGAUCCAGCAAUGCCGCGUGUGUGAAGAAGGCCUUCGGGUUGUAAAGGCACGUUUAAGUUUAGGGGAAGAAAAAACUACGGACUACUAACACCAGUAGUAGUCUUGACGGUACCGUACAAGAAUAAGACACCGGCUAACUCUGUGCCAGCC
rnacentral:rRNA from 1 species